CUGGUAGGUGACUGCGGAGGACAUUGAAUAUGCAAACCACAACACGCACUCUCUACUUGUGUACCGACGUUAGGUCAACACACGCAAGUGUGUGGCCUACUAACCUACACACCAUUGACCAACCACUGAUCAAACCAAACUCUGAAGCUUUGACUGCCGUUAACCGGUGGUUUUAACCAAGAACAACUCUCAACAACGGAUAUCUUGGCUCUCGCAACGAUGAAGAACGCAGCGAAAUGCGAUACGUAGUGUGAAUUGCAGAAUUCCGUGAACCAUCGAAUCUUUGAACGCAUAUUGCGCUCGACUCCUCGGAGAAGAGCAUGUCUGCCUCAGCGUCGGUUUACACCCUCACCCCUCUUCCCUACCAGGAAGCGUCUAUUGUGCUUGCUCAAGCCGAUAGCAGGGGUGGAUCUGGCUCUCCCAAUCGGAUUCACUUUCGAUUGGGUUGGCUGAAGCACAGAGGCUUAAACUGGGACCCGAUUCGGGCUCAACUGGAUAGGUAGCAACACCCUCGGGUGCCUACACGAAGUUGUGUCUGAGGACCUGGUUAGGAGCCAAGCAGGAAACGCGUUUCUAACGCGUACUCUGUAUUCGACCUGAGCUCAGGCAAGGCUACCCGCUGAACUUAAGCAUAUCAAUAAGCCGGAGGAA
rnacentral:rRNA from 1 species